rnacentral:rRNA from 1 species
GCGCAGCAGUCGAGAAUAGUCUACAAUGGACGAAAGUCUGAUAGUGCGACGCCGUGUGUGCGAUUAAUUCCUUCGGGAUGUAAAGCACUUUUCUAUGAGAUAAAAGCUCUUUAGGUUAAUAGCUUAUUGGGACGGAUAUUAUUAUAGGAAUAAGCUCCGGCUAACUCCGUGCCAGCAGCCGCGGUAAUACGGAAGGAGCGAGCGUUGUCCGGAUUUACUAGGCGUAAAGGGCUAGUAGGCGACUAAUUAAGUUAUAUGUUAAAUCCCUCGGCUCAACUGUGGUCCUGCAUGUAAUACGUGG